UACGGAGGGAGCUAGCGUUGUUCGGAAUUACUGGGCGUAAAGCGCACGUAGGCGGCUUUGUAAGUUAGAGGUGAAAGCCCGGAGCUCAACUCCGGAACUGCCUUUAAGACUGCAUCGCUUGAAUCCAGGAGAGGUGAGUGGAAUUCCGAGUGUAGAGGUGAAAUUCGUAGAUAUUCGGAAGAACACCAGUGGCGAAGGCGGCUCACUGGACUGGUAUUGACGCUGAGGUGCGAAAGCGUGGGGAGCCGAACAGG
rnacentral:rRNA from 1 species